AUUGAACGCUGGCGGCAGGCCUAACACAUGCAAGUCGAGCGGAGCGGCGGACGGGUGAGUAAUGCCUAGGAAUCUGCCUGGUAGUGGGGGAUAACGUCCGGAAACGGGCGCUAAUACCGCAUACUAUCAGAUGAGCCUAGGUCGGAUUAGCUAGGUGGUGGGGUAAGGGCCUACCAAGGCCAGGAUCCGUAGCUGGUCUGAGGGGAUGAUCAGUCACACUGGAACUGAGACACGGUCCGGACGCAACCGGGAGGCAGCAGUGGGGAAAAUUGGACAAUGGGCGAAAGGCUGAUCCAGCCCUGCCGCGUGUGUGAAGAAGGUCUUCGGAUUGUAAAGCACUUUAAGUUGGGAGGCGGUACCAACAGAAUAAGCACCGGCUAACUUCGUGCCAGCAGCCGCGGUAAUUC
rnacentral:rRNA from 1 species